rnacentral:rRNA from 1 species
GCGGCAAUAGCGCGGUGGUCCCACCUGACCCCAUGCCGAACUCAGAAGUGAAACGCCGUAGCGCCGAUGGUAGUGUGGGGUCUCCCCAUGCGAGAGUAGGACACUGCCAGGCA